rnacentral:rRNA from 1 species
CUACGGGUCGCAGCAGUGAGGAAUAUUGGACAAUGGUCGAAAGACUGAUCCAGCCAUGCCGCGUGCAGGAUGACUGCCCUAUGGGUUGUAAACUGCUUUUAUACGGGAAGAAAAACACCUACGUGUAGGUGACUGACGGUACCGUAAGAAUAAGGACCGGCUAACUCCGUGCCAGCAGCCGUGGUAAUACGGAGGGUCCAAGCGUUAUCCGGAAUCAUUGGGUUUAAAGGGUCCGUAGGCGGGCUAUUAAGUCAGAGGUGAAAGUUUGCAGCUCAACUGUAAAAUUGCCUUUGAUACUGAUAGUCUUGAAUUGUAGUGAAGUGGUUAGAAUAUGUGGUGUAGCGGUGAAAUGCAUAGAUAUCACAUAGAAUACCGAUUGCGAAGGCAGAUCACUAACUAUAUAUUGACGCUGAGGGACGAAAGCGUGGGGAGCGAACGGGAUUAGAUACCCCGGUAGUC